rnacentral:rRNA from 1 species
UGGGGAAUAUUGGACAAUGGGCGGAAGCCUGAUCCAGCCAUGCCGCGUGUGUGAAGAAGGUCUUCGGAUUGUAAAGCACUUUAAGUUGGGAGGAAGGGCAUUAACCUAAUACGUUAGUGUUUUGACGUUACCGACAGAAUAAGCACCGGCUAACUCUGUGCCAGCAGCCGCGGUAAUACAGAGGGUGCAAGCGUUAAUCGGAAUUACUGGGCGUAAAGCGCGCGUAGGUGGUUUGUUAAGUUGGAUGUGAAAGCCCCGGGCUCAACCUGGGAACUGCAUUCAAAACUGACAAGCUAGAGUAUGGUAGAGGGUGGUGGAAUUUCCUGUGUAGCGGUGAAAUGCGUAGAUAUAGGAAGGAACACCAGUGGCGAAGGCGACCACCUGGACUGAUACUGACGCUGAGGCGCGAAAGCGUGGGGAGCAAACAGGAUUAGAUACCCAAGUAGUCCCUGAGCGGGCUGGCAAGGCGCAU